GACGAGGGAGGGCUAGCGUUGCUCGGAAUCACUGGGCGUAAAGGGUGCGUAGGCGGGUCUUUUAAGUCAGGGGUGAAAUCCUGGAGCUCAACUCCAGAACUGCCUUUGAUACUGAGGAUCUUGAGUUCGGGAGAGGUGAGUGGAACUGCGAGUGUAGAGGUGAAAUUCGUAGAUAUUCGCAAGAACACCAGUGGCGAAGGCGGCUCACUGGCCCGAUACUGACGCUGAGGCACGAAAGCGUGGGGAGCAAACAGGG
rnacentral:rRNA from 1 species